rnacentral:rRNA from 1 species
GAUGAAUGCUGGCGGCGUGCUUAACACAUGCAAGUCGAACGAAGCACUUUAUUUGAUUUCCUUCGGGACUGAUUAUUUUGUGACUGAGUGGCGGACGGGUGAGUAACGCGUGGGUAACCUGCCUUGUACAGGGGGAUAACAGUUGGAAACGGCUGCUAAUACCGCAUAAGCGCACAGCAUCGCAUGAUGCAGUGUGAAAAACUCCGGUGGUAUAAGAUGGAACCGCGUUGGAUUAGCUAGUUGGUGAGGUAACGGCCCACCAAGGCGACGAUCCAUAGCCGACCUGAGAGGGUGACCGGCCACAUUGGGACUGAGACACGGCCCAAACUCCUACGGGAGGCAGCAGUGGGGAAUAUUGCACAAUGGGCGAAAGCCUGAUGCAGCGACGCCGCGUGAGCGAAGAAGUAUUUCGGUAUGUAAAGCUCUAUCAGCAGGGAAGAUAAUGACGGUACCUGACUAAGAAGCACCGGCUAAAUACGUG